rnacentral:tRNA from 1 species
AGUUUAAUAGUUAAUAAAUAAUAUUAGAAUGCAAUUCUAAAGUAGUAGUGUUUACUUAAACUU